AUCAUUCUGUGAUUUUGUUGGAACAAGGUCAGAGAAAGAUCUCAUGGCUGCAUACCGAAAGAAAGAAUGGCCUCGGCGGUUUAAGGAUGGUUCCCAUUUGUGGGCAUUGGCGCUGCAAAAGCGUAAGGAAGGACGAUGCCCUCUUGAGCCUGGUGAAGUAGCCGUGCUGCUUCGAGCCAUGGGUUAUCCUAAAGAAACUCAAAUAUAUGUUGCUUCUGGACAGGUCUAUGGUGGACAAAACCG
rnacentral:misc_RNA from 1 species